ACUAAAGGGAAAGUUUAUUUAAAGUCUUUGAAAACUUGUUCCCCGUAUCAUCCAACUGAAAGUCUUGCCCAGUGAACUCUACUCCUGGUACCGGACGUGGUUGCUCUUCACUUGCUGGUCAUGUCCGGUUAGGCUGAUUCAACCUUAAACCAGAGUGUCCAUUCUCAACCUGUGGCUUGUGACCUCAUUGGCAAACCACCACCUGCAAUAACAUUCAUAAGAGAAAUGGAUUCACAGAUGCUUCUCACCUUAGUUGUUCAGUGGAACUCACACACUGCCCAAGCCUGUCUGGGGUCCUCCAAGAAGUCUCCAGUUCCCUUCUCUUCUCUGAGGCCCCUGGGGCAUGUAGUACCCUGAAGCCUGGCUUGGUGUCACAACAGAACCACGGUGGAUCCUUGCCCGUGUCUUCAAUUAUAGGGUGAUUCAUUCAGCCGUUUUCUCCAGUCCAAGUAAACUUUGCUGCAACCUUCUUGGACAUAAUUCUGGAAUUAACUCUUUCUUCAUAAAGACAGUCAUUACUAUCAGAAAA
rnacentral:lncRNA from 1 species